CUCAGAUUUCCUAAUUCCAGUACUGUGAGAAAUACAUUUCUGUUGUUCAUAAGCCAUUCAGUCUAUGGUGUUUCAUUAUAGAAACCCGAACUGACUAAGACAAUGUGUUUAGUAGAUUCUACUAAUAAAAAUUAUUCUUAGACCUGAGCUGACAGUGCAACCACCAUUACAAAUUUGGCAGUUGCUGUACUAUGUGAGAAAAAGAGAGUUCUAGAGGAGUUUUAAUUGGCAGUUAAAUGCCAGAACUAUAGCAUGGCUCAACUCAACCACGAGGAGACCAAUAAUACCGAUCCUAUAAUUUUUGUGGAAAGUGGGCCAACUGAUAAUACCUGGAAAACAGCAUGAAGAGCUACUCUACUGCAUGUACACUUUGGGAUAUAAAUACUUAAUUUUCUUAUCCUUUGCUGACACUCCCAUGUGGCUUUGUGUAGAACAAUGAUCCAUAGCCAGGAUGCCCACAGACAUCACACUGGCUGUUCUGAGAAGAAUGAAUGACAAGAGACAAAGAAUGAAAGGAAGGCAAAGAUUCUGGGAAGAUGAUGUUAGGACUCAGAAAACAACACCCCAAAAUAAAAGCCUCAGAAGCAAUA
rnacentral:lncRNA from 1 species